rnacentral:rRNA from 1 species
CAGUCGUACCGACGGAAAAUCAGCUUUUUGAGUGCGGACUUGUGGGUUUACGUGAGCUUUACGGCCUCGUUGUUUGCAAUGUUCGUUCUUUUUGGGUGUACUUUUUCGUAUGGUUGGCCAAUAUCAGUUUCGAUCGCUAUAAAAUGACCGGCGGAAUGUAGCUUCGAUCUCGUAUUGAAGUGUUAUAGCCUCUGGUAGAUGUGGUGAUUGGGACUGAGGAUUGCAACGAAUACCUUUCGGGGCUACCUGUCUGAUCUCUGAUCGUUGCUUUGGUGCUGAAAGCGUGCUUAUAGUUAUUAAAGUCGAUGGUCAAUAGGUUAGAAUGGGUUAAA